UGAUAGAAAAAUCCUAGAAAACUGACAUCAAGUAUUCCAAUUUAUAGUGUUUCAAACUGUUGCAAGCAUUUUUCUCUUUUCAGAUAGAGCAGACUGAAGACUGAUUUCCAUCCAAAUUUUGAAAAAUAAAGCUGAUCCUCCAACCGGAUAUGAAAGAGAAGGAAAGGCCAAACAGAGGACCCUUAACGGGAAAACAGAAAUCAAAGCAAAUAACCAAGGUAGUCAGAAGAGGAAGGAGUACAAUGGAAUUUGAUGGUGGAUGAAUCUGCACAAAAAGGAGACUAAAAAAGAAAGGUUUUUGUGACCCAACACUCAUGGUUUACUUUUUAAGGUUGUGAGGAAAAGAAAUGGC